rnacentral:rRNA from 1 species
UACGUAGGGCGCGAGCGUUGUCCGGAAUUAUUGGGCGUAAAGAGCUCGUAGGCGGUCUGUUGCGUCCGCUGUGAAAACCCGGGGCUCAACUCCGGGCUUGCGGGCGAUACGGGCAGGCUAGAGUUCGGUAGGGGAGACUGGAAUUCCUGGUGUAGCGGUGAAAUGCGCAGAUAUCAGGAGGAACACCGGUGGCGAAGGCGGGUCUCUGGGCCGAUACUGACGCUGAGGAGCGAAAGCGUGGGGAGCGAACAGG